rnacentral:rRNA from 1 species
UGACCUCGGAUCAGGUAGGGAUACCCGCUGAACUUAAGCAUAUCAAUAAGCGGAGGAAAAGAAACCAACAGGGAUUGCCUCAGUAACGGCGAGUGAAGCGGCAAGAGCUCAAAUUUGAAAGCUGGCUCCUUCGGGGUCCGCAUUGUAAUUUGCAGAGGAUGCUUCGGGAGUGGCCCCCAUCUAAGUGCCCUGGAACGGGCCGUCAUAGAGGGUGAGAAUCCCGUCUGGGAUGGGGUGUCCACGCCCGUGUGAAGCUCCUUCGACGAGUCGAGUUGUUUGGGAAUGCAGCUCUAAAUGGGUGGUAAAUUUCAUCUAAAGCUAAAUACUGGCCGGAGACCGAUAGCGCACAAGUAGAGUGAUCGAAAGAUGAAAAGCACUUUGAAAAGAGAGUUAAACAGCACGUGAAAUUGUUGAAAGGGAAGCGCUUGCGACCAGACUCGCCCACGGGGUUCAGCCGGCAUUCGUGCCGGUGUACUUCCCCGCGGGCGGGCCAGCGUCGGUUUGGGCGGCCGGUCAAAGGCCCUCGGAAUGUAACGCCCCCCGGGGCGUCUUAUAGCCGAGGGUGCCAUGCGGCCAGCCCGGACCGAGGAACGCGCUUCGGCUCGGACGCUGGCAUAAUGGUCGUAAGCGACC